rnacentral:rRNA from 1 species
AGGGAAUAGAUACCCUGGUAGUCCACGCUGUAAACGAUGGAUGCUAGCCGUCGGGGGUUACCGUCUCGGUGGCGCAGCUAAACGCGCUAAGCAUCCCGCCUGGGGAGUACGGUCGCAAGAUUAAAACUCAAAGGAAUUGACGGGGACCCGGCACAAGCGGUGGAACAUGUGGUUUAAUUCGAGGCAACGCGAAGAACCUUACCAGGCUUUGACAUGCUCUCUGUGAACCCAAGAAAUUGGGCUCUUCACCUCGGGUGGGAGAUGCACAGGUGCUGCAUGGCUGUCGUCAGCUCGUGUCGUGAGAUGUUGGGUUAAGUCCCGCAACGAGCGCAACCCUCGUCCUCUGUUGCUAACAGGUAAUGCUGAGAACUCUGAGGAAACUGCCGGUGAUAAGCCGGAGGAAGGUGGGGUAGU